ensembl:lncRNA
AUGUACCAGGCUGGACCACUGCGGCCACGUACGCCAAGACUUGGAAAGCUACCAUUCCACUCCGCCCAGCGGGCGGCUCAACCCGCCCCGCCGGGCUGCGGCGCAUGGACGGUCGGUGGGGUGAAGGCGGCACAGGCACCCUGGCUCGCCUUCGCCCCCCAAGGCAGCUGCAGCCCCAGCUCAAGCAGCGCCCAUAGCUCGGGUCUGCCCCGAGUGCCAGCGUCCUCCCACCGCCGCCCCUCGCUCCUCCGAUGCAGCAGGGAGCGGACACGCCUUAGAACAGCCGUCGCCGCCGGCCGCCUCAGCGGGCACCUCCGCCGUCCCGGGCACGGCGCCUGCGGGGCGCGGCCGCAGCGGCAGCAGCAGCAGCAGCAGCUCGGCGGAGCGCACCCCGGGGGCGCCCACGGGAGACGCUCCCACCCACGCGUGCCCGGGGCGCUCCCGCCCCUCCGCCCGCCGCCGCCUGGCGCAGCCGCGCGCUCUUACACACCCGCACCCUCACACUCACGCACACUCGCUCGGGCCGCCCGGGCUGCACAUCGCCGCUCCUCGCCCGCCCCGCCGGUUCGCCUCCGCCAUGGCAAGCCCCGGCUCCGGCUUCUGGCCCUUCGGAGCCGAGGAGGGCUCCGCCGCCGCCGAGACCCCCGGCACAGCCAGAGCUUGGUGUCAGGUUGCCCAGAAGUUCACGGGAGGGAUCGGAAACAAACUCUGCGCCCUGCUCUACGGAGAUGCCGAGAAGCCCGUGGAGACCGGAGCCAAGGCAGCAGCCCCGGGGGUAGCGGAGCCGAGGCCGACCUGCACCUGCGACAAAAAACCCUGCGGUUGUCAGAAAGCCGACGUGAAUUACGCCUUUCUGCACUCAACAGAUCUUCUGCCGACAUGCAAUGGAGAAAUAACUACUAUGUCUUUCCUACAAGACGUUGUGGACAUUUUACUUCAGUAUGUGGUGAAAAGUUUUGAUAGAUCAACAAAAGUUAUUGAUUUCCAUUACCCAAACGAGCUGCUCCAGGAAUAUAACUGGGAACUGGCAGACCAGCCACAGACCUUGGAAGAAAUUUUAUUGAACUGCAGAACAACUCUGAAGUAUGCAAUUAAAACAGGUAAUAGCAAUGCUCAUUUUCUACCUUCUAUGGUCUCAUCCAUUGAUUAAAGGUGUCAUUUCAAUUUAGCUUGAAACGUUAAAGAUUGAAGCAGCGACUGUAUUUUGUCAGCUCCAAGCAAUUUCUAGCAGAGGCAGAAAUCGUUUUCCAAAAUGAUAAAGCACUCCAGCAGCUCCAUCUCUGUAGCUGUCAGUGCAGCCUCGCACACCCUUUCCGAUUUGAAAUUAAUGCGUCUGUGCGUCGGAGUUGCCGAGUGUGGCACCGAGCACACUUUGCACACCUUCUCCACUUUCUGCCGUUCCUUUUCAUCAUUUCCCGUGUGUUGUCCCGGCCUUUGCCUCUUGCUCCCGGCAGAGCGGGGUGCGGAGCUCGGGCCGAGGGGAGCCCAUGCGCGGGGCCAGCAGGGACCAGCCCAUUUAGCAGUCGAAAUCACAGCAAACGGCCUGUAAAUUCCAGCUCCGAGCGGCCACUGCCGUGUCUGUCACUUCGCCUGCAAAACAUAAAAUAAAAAGAGAAUUUAGCAGAACCUUACA